rnacentral:rRNA from 1 species
CCUACGGGAUGCAGCAGUAGGGAAUCUUUCACAAUGGGCGAAAGCCUGAUGGAGCAACGCCGCGUGCAGGAUGAAGGCCUUCGGGUUGUAAACUGCUUUUAUAAGCGAGAAAUAUGAUGGUAACUUAUGACUAAUGAUCGGCUACCUACGUGCCAGCAGCCGCGGUCAUACGUAGGAUCCGAGCAUUAUCCGGAGUGACUGGGUGUAAAGAGUUGCGUAGGUGGCAUAAUAAGUAGCUAGUGAAAUCUGGUGGCUCAAGCAUUCAGACUAUUAGCUAAACUGUUAAGCUCGAGAACGUGAGGGGUAACUGGAAUGUCUAGUGUAGGAGUGAAAUCCGUAGAUAUUAGAAGGAACACCAAUAGCGUAGGCAGGUUACUGGGACGGGUCUGACACUAAGGCACGAAAGCGUAGGGAGCAAACGGGAUUAGAUACCCUUGUAGUC